UCAGACAGACAUGCUGUGCCUUCUCCUAUCAGCAACACCUGAAUCUGUGAAGACUGAAGCCUUGCCCAGGUGGAGCGAGCCAGGCCUCUGGGGUCAGACCCUGCUUUCCCAAGUACAGGCACCUGGGGGGGAGGGUGCGGUGUCCUGUGCUGUAGAAGACCAGGGCACCAGACGUUUGCUCCCACUCAGUGCCCCGUGAGGGACAGGCAGAGAGGGACAGGCAGAGAAGGACCGGUGGGAUCCAGUGCUAAUCCUUCAGAGCCCUUCCCCCAUGCUGAUCAGGAUAGCCAGCCCCUGCUCCUACCUGUUGCUAAGUAACCGUUCCCAGGUUUGGCCCCUCCCCACAGGGGUGUUAAUCACACCCCUUCCCAAGGGAUCACCCCUCCCUGGCCCUCCACCCACUGGAUUCCCACUGUUGGCCAUCCCAGUGAGCCCUUCCUGGGCCUGGUCACCACAGGCAGGAAGGAGAGGAUGACGGGAGGAGAACAAGGGACUCGAAGGUCGUAAAAAGGCAGCACCCUGGCUUCGUGGAGCCCAGGACCCCGGGCAGUCUGUGUCACUCCUUUUUAAGUAAACCCUGCCUUACACGCUUGCCUUGGGGUGCUUCGUCCCUGGUAACGGGCGUAUCAGCUGGACUGAUGGACCAACUUUUAAAACUACGUGUAAAGUCAUCCUGGGAUAAGAGGUUAACCUGGGAGAUUAAUUUUAACAAGAAGCUUGUUUCAGAAGAAUAAAGGUCAAGGGCAUGCUGUGUAUCCCUCCGGUCCUGGGCUUUUCUUGUUUGGUAGGCUUCUGAUGGUGUCUUCUAUUUCAUUGUUUGAAAUUGGUCUGUUUCAAUUGUGUAUAUCUUCCUGAUUCAGUUUGG
rnacentral:lncRNA from 1 species